GAAGGAGGUACCCGAAAGGAGGGGCAGAGCCGCGCUAGUAGUCAGAGAUGUAACAAUAAAAAGAUAUGCUCUGAAAGUGUCUUGGGGUGUUCUGUGGAGUCAUUUCUCCAGUGCAGCUGGAGCCGGAGACAUCCGAAGCCUGUUGAGGAGAGAGCCACCUUAAGUAAUGUUGAGGGCCAGAACUGAAGAAGUUUAAAUAUGGGCUUAUUUAUUCAGAAUCUUUUGGCUCACCAAUUUCUCAUGCCUGGAUACUCUGACCAGUCCUUGAACCCUGAUAUGCAAGCAGUCGCGGGCGACAGGUGGUGCCCGAACAGGGACCCAAAGAGGUACGAGAGAAGUGGCUCUCUUGGAAACUCCGGAGAAAAAACCCUUGGCAGCUCUGCGCUGUGGAAACAAGGUCCUUGGCGGUUCUACACUGGGGAAUCAAGGUAAAGUGAGCAAAGGUCACAACACCCUCUCUUUUAGCAGUUUUAGGGCUAAAAGGACACCAGGCUAAAGUGGGGAUAUACGGAAAACAAAAGAAAAAAGGCUCAGUAAUAGGAGCAUAAGAGAAGAAAAGAAAAGGGCUCGAGCCUAAGAAUAGUAUUGCUUUGGAAGGCCACGCGCACUUAUGGUUUUGGGAGGCACGCCUGGGAUCGAAAGUAUGGGUCAAACACAAAGCAGAAGCAAAGACAGAGAAUAUUAUCUACAACUUUUCAAGGAAAUAGUGAAAGAAAGAGGUUUAUUCAUUACAAAUGGUCAGUUACAGGAAUUUUUGGAAUGUGUAGAAACAUGCGGCCUGUGGUUCCUUCAAGAAGGAAAAAUAGACUUAGAAAUAUGGGAAACAGUGGGCAGACAAAUGAGUGAGUACUAUAGAGAAGUAGGUCCAGGUGCUUUCUCCAUAGCUACAUUCUCAAUUUGAAAUGUGCUAAAAAUAUGUUUCACUCCUCCUUAGAGGAUGUGUUCUUAACAACAAAAGUACUUAAGGCAGAUGCAGGGGCAGGAACUGAAGAAGAAGAAGAGAUGAAUAGAGUAUUUGAGAAAAAGCUUAGAAUUGUAGAAGAUGAUAUCUAUGCAAAAUCUAUUACACCUUCAGCACCACCACAUCCCUCACCUUCACAUAGAUCAAGCUCAUACAGAGAAGAUAGUGAGGAGAUAAAUAAAGAUCAGAAAAGCCAUAAAAUACAUUGUAAAGGGUUAUUAGAAAAAGCAAUUAUAAAAGCAGAGGAAAAGGGAGAGGAAGUACCCAUGGAAUUAAAAUUAGCUGUGCCAAAAACCAUGCUAUUUCCAGCAUAUGAGGAGGAAGAUGUAAAUAACCCAGGUACAAACAUUAGAGUUCAUAGACAGUUUGAAUUUAAAUUGUUAAAGGAAUUAAACCAGGCCUCAGUUAAUUAGGGAUCCAAUACAGCAUUAGCCCCAUAUGACUGGUGUUCUAUAGUAAAGAUAUGUCUUGAUCCUGGAGAUUAUUUCAUUUGGAAGUCAGAAUAUUUUGAACAAUGUCAAGAACAAGUAAAAUACAAUAUCAGAACAGGGGUUAACAGGGAGAUACACAGAAUUACAGGAACAACUGCAAUUUCCCCUUUAAAUUCCUCAGGAUAACAAUAAUAAUAGCCAAUUCAUGUUAAGGGUUCCUAAUUUUUUCUCUCUGUGUCAUUAAGUGUGCACUAUGUCACUAUGUAUUGUAUUUGUCCUGUCAAUUUGUUGUGUGUGUUGGUGUGUGUCUCUGUAACUGUACUUUAUAGGAUUUUCAAUGCAGCCAGAGACUUCUGGGGGCUGCAGCUAGGGAAACAACAAAUUGCAAAACUCUUUUCCUUGUGGGUCUAGGCCUGACCAGCCUGGACUUAACAGUGAAAAGUUUUAUACAGGUAAAAACAUCUUAAACAGAUUCUGAGAUUUUGAGAUUAAUCAUUAAGAAAUUGGGAAAUUGUUCGUUUUGGGACUGUUAAGGGCCUCCCAGAUGGGUGGACCAGUGACCGCUUAAUCUAGGAAAAAAAUCAGGGCUCUUCAAGAGAUAGCAGAGGAACAGUUUAGCUUCAGGACACAUAGAACCAUCCACAAGUCCGUGGAACUCCCCAAUAUUUGCCAUCAAAAAGAGGUCAGGAAAGUGGAGGAUAUUGAAGAUCUCAAACAGAAAAACAUGUUAAGAAACCUUUGGAACUUAGAAAAGUAUUGACCAGUUAUAGAUACGUGGUUUAAGCAGAAGGUGCAUCUUUGUGAAGAAUUGAUUAAAAUAGAUCAACUAAAAACAGCUGGAAAAAGAUAUUGGAUACCACAUACAGGGACUUUUAAAUAAUCAACGAUUGAACUUAGAUGUCAGCAAAAUAAUAUAGUACUAGAAGAUAUAAUAAAGUCCAGAAUAGGGAUUCCUAUUACUGUGGAACACUUGACAAGAACAGAGAUCAAAAACUUUUAACAACAAAACGAGAGGUACAGGCAGCUUAGGUUUUUGCUUAAAAACAUGGUUUUCCAAAGGCAGUUCACAUGUACAUAGGAUAUUUUUCCUUCUUUUUAAUGAGGAGAGGGAAAACAGUAGAAAAAGACUUUAAUAACAACAGAUUUUGAACAGCUUCUUUGGUAAGUUUUACAAGAACUCUUUAAAUGCUUCAUGUCAUCACUGUCCCAAGUAGAAGGGAAAAUCAGUUUUUAAAACUUUAUUACUAACAAAUAGUGGAGGUAUAAGCACAAAAAUUAGGAGCUGGUUAUGGUUCUUAUAGUGUGUACCUUGUCAUGAGGUGGAAAAAAUAGUUUGAAUUAUCUGUCCACUCUUAUAGACUUAUUUCACCCCUCCAAGAAAGCAAGAUCACAUAUAAUUGCCAAUCUCAGCUAAUUAAGAUGCUUUACAUCGGAGUAACAUGAGUGGCACAACUUAAGAUUGAGGCAUAUUGGGAAAGCUGUAUAGGAAACCUCAUGCUUUCUCCUACUCCUGAAUCUGUUUGAGUUUUGACUUUUCAGAAGCAUCUAAGUUUUUCAAAAGGAAAAAAGCCUUGUUUUAUAGGCUGCAAGAACAAUUACAAUUGAUUUACCCAAGAGGGAAAGAAUGAGUGUUUCAGGUGCUGUCUUUAAUUCUGCAAACAGCCAGGGCCCCACACCCAUUUAUUCACCAACGUUUUUAGAGAGAAGGAAAGCUCAAGCAGCUGAAAUGAAUGAUGAUAAAGUAGAUAAUGAAAUUGUACUUAAACUACCACCAAUUGUUAACAAGAAAGUAACACCAUUGACUCAGACUCCACCAAGUUCAAGAGGAAAGGCAAAGAACAAUGAAGAAUUAUCCUGAAUAUGGCAUCUGCUCAGGGAGCUUGGGUUUUGUUAUUAGAACCUAUUCGUGUAUAUGAUGGCAGUUCUGAGUAGUUCUUCUUAACCAUUUGUUAAUUGUUAAUUUUGAAUGGGUGUUCUUAUCAGCACAACCAAAAUACGCUCUGCAAACAUAUCAAAGAGUAGGUAGUAGACAAAUGACCAACAAAGAAUUCUUUGCAUAUACUUCAAGGCAUUUAAAUAAUACAAAGACACUGUGAGUGACAUGUCCUACUGUGAAUUUAGAGAAAUUGAAUUUCAUUACACUGAGUCUUUAGGAUAUUUGGAAACUUUUCAGGUUGGAUUUUUUUUUCUGGUUAAAAGCACUUGUUUAUUGGUUGAAAUAUCAACUCAUGGCAACCUGUUUCACUGAGCUACUGUACAAAUACAAAGAUCAAAUCUAUUGGAAGAAGUUAUAAACAGAAGUUUGUAGCAAGUGACCAUUUCACAGGGAAGUCAUUGAUGUAGAAGCAGUAUUGGAGAAUAAUAAGUCCCUGGUUUUUAUUAGCUUAAAUUAAAGCUGUUAAAACUUUAUCUGGAUACAGACACACUCCAAAGGCAGUGUGGAAUCGAUUCAUCUUUUGUAAUAUUUACUGACUUAUCUGGUCCGAGUCAGCACAGAGUGUUUAAAACAAAUAUUUUAAGAUGAGAAGAAAUAUAGUGGAAAUCUGACGAGUAUACAGUGACUGUGGAACAAAAGUUUUUAGAAAAACCAGUUGCAUUUGGACUCCUUUGGAUGUAAUAUGUAAUACAAGUGUUCAAAUGCCUCUUAGGAAAGGAGAAAAAACACAGAAUAGAGCAUCAUUGGUAAGUAAAACAAAGGCUUGAAAUAUCUAAAGACUAUUCCUCUGAAGUCCAUAAUAGUCAAAAACCUAGCAUACUGUGUGUGGUACAAUAUUUUGUCAGGCACAUUUAAUCUGUUAUCAGUUAUGUCAAUUAGCAACACUUUACACAUUUUACCAUUACAACACUGCAUUAACAUUGUGCAUGUAUUUUAUAUAACCAGUAACUGGAUGAAAAGGCCUGUGGUGCCUCCAAAAGUGUAGGAAGAAAUUUUGCCAGCAUGCAUGACAGAUCACUAAAUAUAAGGUGCCCCAGCAGCUCAUGCUUGCUUAAUUUAUACGUGAAAUGCGAUCUUAAAAUCAGUCAUUAAAAAAAUAGUAAUGGAAUGUUUUUCAUGCUUUUCAAAAUAAAACAUCACUGGGAUCCCAUAUAACCCUACAAGUAAUUGUGAAAUGAAAAAAUAGAUCCCUGAAAAUGCUUCUUCAAAAGCAAAAAGGGGGAGAAGCAAGGGGAAUUGGCACAAGCGGUAUAUGCUCUAAAUUUUCCUACACCUGAUAGAGAAGGCUAUCCCCUGGCUGAAAAACACGUUAAGGUUUAUGGGAAAGAGAAUAAUGAAGAACAAAAGACUCAAAAAAGAGUCAUGUGGAAGGACCCAAAAGCCAAUCAUUGGUUUGGGCCAGAAUGGUUGUUAACCUGGGGGCGAGGGUCUGCUUCUGUCUUUCCAGAUGGCGCAGAAAGACCAAUAUGGAUUCCUGAAUGGAACAUCCAGAUCUGUGCUCAAAACUUCAGACACUUGGACUGCAGAACAAGCAUAGAGACAAAAGAACAAGAAGAGAACAUCCGAGACGAUGGAGGAGGACAACAAAGACAUUGCAAAUGAUGAGCGUGCUGAAGUUGACCACCCUGAAGUUUGAUAAAAGCAUUGACUCUCAUUUUCCCCUGUAUCCUUGAGGACAAUGUACUCUUUCAUUUUACAAGGACAAGCCGGUUAGAAUUAAGUCUCCUCUCCUCCACCUUGUGAUGUGACUCUUUAAGGGAAGAGUCAACCCUAGGACACAUUGCUAAAGUGACUGACAUCGUAUAUGGAGAGUCAUGUGUUCAUCGCUUAUCACCUUGUAGGGGGAAUUAUACAGUUUCAAAGGGAAAGCUAGUAUACCUCUAAUGUGUUUCAGGAUAAAUGUAAAUUUUGAUCAUUGUGCUAUGUGGGAUAUUGCAUCCUCUGUAUCACUUAUUGUAUAUACCAGAGCAUUGGCUUGGAAGGUAUCAUUGGCAUAAUGUUGAAUUUAUUGGAGAUCUUUGAUUCUGAUUUGUCUUUUGCUAAGUCAUUUCCCAGGGACUCAACCCUAGAACCUAGCUCGAGAAAUUCUGGAACAUUGGGCGAAACCAAUAUAUUUGAAAAGGUUGUUCAAUGGGUAAAUCAUUGUUCAAGUCUUUGGGUACAGAUAUUCAUCACCUUAAGUCAAUUAAAAAAGAAAUGGGGAAUUGUUGAGGGCUAGAACUGAAGAAGUCUAAAUAUGGGCUUAUUUAUUCAGACUCUUGGCUCACCAAUUUCUCGUGCCUGGAUACUCUGAAGUGAUAUGCAAGCAGGUGUGUAUAAUUAAAGUAACACCUGGGGGCUGGGAUUAGCCAUGAGGGCCUUGGGGGGUGAUUGUUAGCUUUCACUAUUUAAACUGGACCCUCGGAAUAAUA